AUUGAACUCCGGCGGCAGGCCUAACACAUGCAAGUCGAGCGGAUGAAGGGAGCUUGCUCCUGGAUUCAGCGGCGGACGGGUGAGUAAUGCCUAGGAAUCUGCCUGGUAGUGGGGGAUAACGUCCGGAAACGGGCGCUAAUACCGCAUACGUCCUGAGGGAGAAAGUGGGGGAUCUUCGGACCUCACGCUAUCAGAUGAGCCUAGGUCGGAUUAGCUAGUUGGUGGGGUAAAGGCCUACCAAGGCGACGAUCCGUAACUGGUCUGAGAGGAUGAUCAGUCACACUGGAACUGAGACACGGUCCAGACUCCUACGGGAGGCAGCAGUGGGGAAUAUUGGACAAUGGGCGAAAGCCUGAUCCAGCCAUGCCGCGUGUGUGAAGAAGGUCUUCGGAUUGUAAAGCACUUUAAGUUGGGAGGAAGGGCAGUAAGUUAAUACCUUGCUGUUUUGACGUUACCAACAGAAUAAGCACCGGCUAACUUCGUG
rnacentral:rRNA from 1 species